AUUGAACGCUGGCGGCAGGCUUAACACAUGCAAGUCGAGCGGGGUGAUGGUGCUUGCACUAUCACUUAGCGGCGGACGGGUGAGUAAUGCUUAGGAAUCUGCCUAUUAGUGGGGGACAACAUCUCGAAAGGGAUGCUAAUACCGCAUACGUCCUACGGGAGAAAGCAGGGGAUCACUCGUGACCUUGCGCUAAUAGAUGAGCCUAAGUGGGAUUAGCUAGUUGGUGGGGUAAAGGCCUACCACGGCGACGAUCUGUAGCGGGUCUGAGAGGAUGAUCCGCCCGACUGGGACUGAGACACGGCCCAGACUCCUACGGGAGGCAGCAGUGGGGAAUAUUGGACAACGGGGGGAACCCUGAUCCAGCCAUGCCGCGUGUGUGAAGAAGGCCUUAUGGUUGUAAAGCACUUUAAGCGAGGAGGAGGCUCUUUUGGUUAAUACCCAAGAUGAGUGGACGUUACUCGCAGAAUAAGCACCGGCUAACUCUGUGCCAGCAGCCGCCGUAA
rnacentral:rRNA from 1 species